AGUGAACGCUGGCGGUAGGCCUAACACAUGCAAGUCGAACGGCAGCACAGGAGAGCUUGCUCUCUGGGUGGCGAGUGGCGGACGGGUGAGGAAUACAUCGGAAUCUACUUUUUCGUGGGGGAUAACGUAGGGAAACUUACGCUAAUACCGCAUACGACCUACGGGUGAAAGCAGGGGAUCUUCGGACCUUGCGCGAUUGAAUGAGCCGAUGUCGGAUUAGCUAGUUGGCGGGGUAAAGGCCCACCAAGGCGACGAUCCGUAGCUGGUCUGAGAGGAGGAUCGGACACACGGGAACUGAGACACGGUCCAGACCCCUAAGGGAGGCAGCAGUGGGGAAUAUUGGACAAUGGGCGCAAGCCUGAUCCAGCCAUACCGCGUGGGUGAAGAAGGCCUUCGGGUUGUAAAGCCCUUUUGUUGGGAAAGAAAUCCAGCUGGCUAAUACCCGGUUGGGAUGACGGUACCCAAAGAAUAAGCACCGGCUAACUUCGUGCCAGCAGCCGCCGUAA
rnacentral:rRNA from 1 species